UCAACAAAACUGCCAAUAGAUGACGGGUAUGUGACAUUUGAACCCAGCUACUAUACAAAGACGUGUACUCGGCGCUGUUGUGGAGCAUUCGUUCAGUAGACAUCAAGUUGAAAGCAUCCAGUGCAUUUCCGCCUCCUGACUUUGCUUUGGUUUUCAAGUCUGUUUCAACCUGAAAUAUUAGCCAGAAUGAAGGUUUACAUGUGCCUGCUUCUCCUGAUGGUCGUUGGAUGUGUCUUCGGUUUGGCAGAGACGGACGACUUUCUUGCUGAUGAGGAGUUGGUGCAAGAGCUGGAAUCUCGCGAGAUAGUGAAGAAGUCUUGCACAAAGAAUAGCCAAUGUAGUAGAUAUACGAGGUGUCGUAAUGGCCGUUGCAGAUGGUAAUGAUCGGACGCUAGGUAUACUGGCAGUCAACACGAACGAAUUAAACAACGAUCGUCAGUGGUUAACCGACAGCAAGGCUUUAUUCGGAUUAAAUAAAGAAAGAUUUGACCAGUGGCGUAAAUCUGUGCCGGCGAU